rnacentral:misc_RNA from 1 species
CCUAGAGUUGUAGGCUUUGCCUGCUAUCUCUUACCUAUGUCUUUUGAGUACCUUUGUUUCCUCAGCGGGUCUGCCCGCCAAUUAGACAAUUUAAACCAUUUGCAGUUGCAAUCAGCGUCUGAAAAACUUAAUAGUUA